AUACUUUAAGUUUUAGGGUCUGAGGUACCGGGUUCAUCUCACUAGGGAGUGCCAGAAAGGAGCUUUUUUCUUACAGAGAAAUUCCAAAAUAUAUGCUACUGGAAAUGGAGGGCAAACUGCCCAACUCACAGGAUAUUAGAAGGGGUAUACUUGAAUUAUGUGGUUAAGGAUUUAUGGUUGAAAGUAACAGUAGCCCAAAGUUGAGUUUCCCUGAGUGUAGGUAGAUUCUUCCUCAAGGAAGAACUUGAAGGGCAAGACCAGUUAUAGGAGGCUCUGGUUUCCCUGGAGUGUAGUUAACUCCUUUCAAUUCUCCUAACCAUUAAGACUGAAUGUUAAUGUCUGCUAGCAUCUGCAGUAUGAACUAAAUUGUCACAAAACUACCACAUGCUAUGAUUCUUUACUUACUCAAACUCUGCUAUAGCCUAAGGUCUCUCUUCAUGCAGGGGCUUCCAUUGAGAACAGUGUGGAUUUAGUAAUACAUUUAAUUGGAAUGUUUAAUAAGAAGUUAGAGCCUUUUUUUAAUCUUGGAAAAGGCAUCAAUCUUGAGAACACCAGAUGUGAAUAUCAUUUUAACAAGAGAAUUUUCACUUUGCUUGUAUCUUCCAAAGCAUGGAGAUUCUCCUUUGAAGAUAUUCAUUCUAUAGAAUAUUGUCAGCAAUAUAAAGGUAGAAGAAUAGUUGAGUUUGACUACAGAUAAGCCAGGUUAAAAAUACAGAAAGCACUUGAUGAAAAUCAUGAGUUGUUAGGAUUCAAAUUAUAGAGCUCCAAUAAGGACCCCUGAACACUGAUUUUUCAGGCACAUUACCAAAGUUUCCAUGAAAUAGGAUGAAGUUACUAUAAUCAGGCCCUUUUCUGUCCUCUCUUCAUUGUGUCAAUAAAAUAGAGUUGUGCAGAGCUGCUCUAAUCAGCUUAGAGUGCUAAUUCAUUGCGCCGGGAUGCUAUCUGUGUUUGGCUACAGAUAACUGAGUUGGAGGCAAUUUUAGCAUUAGCUAUCUCUUAUAAACAGCCAAAUCCUUUGGCCAUGCUUAGGCUUAUGUAGCAUGAAUUAUUCAAUGAGAAGGAAAAAAGCAGUGUUUUAGCAACUUGUUUUGGUGAUUUUUAUUUUUAUGAAAAUAAAUUGUAGCCUCGUGGGAUAAAUCAACAAUCUAAAAAAUAAAAAUAAAAACAUCACUUUUACUUAGUUCUGUAGUUGGCCUCCACAAAACAAUUUCUAGAAUAAAUGCUUAUCCUUCCUAAAUAAGAGGUCAUUGUUGCAGUUUUCCGUGAAUCAAAGAUGAAUAGGGUCCAUCUAUUAUCAAUUCCUCAAUCAGAGAAAAAAGGAAAUUAAGUUCCUAAUUAGGUGAAUUUGGACUAAAGAGGUGGGGCAUUGAAGGGAUAAGGAAAAUUGAGAGGUAGUUGAUGCCAUUUCAGACUAAUGAUAGGAGAGGAAAUGAAGAUGGGGGUGGUAGGAGUUGAGCUUGAAAGACAAUAUCUGCAAUUAAGCCCCACCUGACAGGGCUAGUAAAAUGCUGCCGAUUACAAUUUAUCUAGAAAGCAUAGACGGGAAAUAUACAGGUCUUCUUUUACAGAAUUGGCAGCUGAUGGUUAUUGAACCUGAGCUAACAUUCCCAAAUGAAAUGAGGUGGGGCAAUUUGAGUCAUAUGAUAACAAUGUUGUCAUCCUGGAGAACAGUCUCGCAAUAUUUGUGGCAAAUAUUAUGAACGCACAUAAAGUUGGUCCCUUAAAAAGAUUUAUUGAAAUUAAUAUGUUCUGUAGAGUUGAGCGCCAGUGUAUAUUUUUACAUAUGGAGAAGUAAAUUUAAAAUUGUACAGUACAUAAAAGGUUUUGAAAACAGUUAUAAAGACUUAUUUAGGCAGUGAUUUAAAUUUAAAUUAACAGCAACACUGACAAUUUUCUAUUUGUUUAGCUAUUAACGAAGCUAUUUAACAAAAUGUUUUGUAGACUCCAGUUCUUAGACUUUUUUUCUUUUUUAAAAAAAUACAACAUUCCUUUUUGAUUCUGGCGAGUCAGGAGGAAUUCCUACUCUGAAGACAGAGCCAGAGUACAGAGUUAAUGUGCAGCAGUGGCCUUCUUCCUUGGACCCUAAGAUGCUGGAGCCACUCACUGCACUUUUCAAGCAGCUGCCAACAUUGUCAGCACUGAUCUGUCAGUAAGGAUUUCUCCUGGCAAAACUCUGAAGCUACUUUCUGACAUCUUCAACAAACUAAUUGUUGUCUCCUGCCUCUGCGAGCCCUCUGAAGUCCCAACGAGUUAGUGUCUUCUCAAGAGAUGAGAAAAAGGACUCACAAAAUCAACUUAUCAGGCUAUUACGCAUUGUCAUCAGCCAAAACAAAAACCUGCUAAAGACAGGAGAAAAAGUAGAAGAAAUGGGUCUCUGAGAAAAGGUUACAGAACAUCCAUCUUCUCUCCUCUUCUGAUUGUUUCCUUUCUUUGCCCAUUUUCAUACCCGUUUCCCUCUGUUAAAAGACACUUUAUGACAAGCAUUGUAAUCUCUUUAGAACGGAGGGGAACCUCUUCUUUAGGACACAAUCUUUGCAAGUUGUGAGUGACAGUGGGAAAGGGUCCAAUUGCCACUGAGGACACCAGGCAAUAAAUCAUCCUCCCCUGGCAUCAGCUGGCUGGACGAAUCCCCACUUCCUGAGUAAGUACCAGGGCCUAGAUGUGACAAAACAGCUAUUGUCAGCUCCUAGUGGCCACAUUCCCACUUUCUCUCUACUGAGAUUUUCCGUUUACUCGAGACUUUUAGUAGUGCAAACCAUAUUGGGAAGAAAUAUUCAAAUAACUACCAUUAGAAAGUGAAAUAUCUGAGAGUUGGAUAAUUAUAAUAUUCAUCUAAGAGCAACAAUUAUUAGAGGAAACCUUCUGUUUUCAUUUUACAUAUCAUCAAGCAGUUGCUUUAUCACCAUUAAAAGUGGCAUGUCUUUUCAUUUUUUAAAUGUUUGAUAUAUAGAGUAGUUCUCAAAAUGACUUUAUAAGAGCAAUGUGCAAAAGAUCAGGUAAAAAUUUUAUAAAUAAUAUGAAAAGAUAGAUUGCUGUAGUGAUAAUUUUAUAAUUUGGUAGAGUUAGGGCAUUUUCAAAUAGACACUUUUCUUUGCAGUGAUUAAGUUUAGAUAUACUAUUAUUAUUAAUAUGCUUGUAAAAUACUGUAAGGGGUAAGCUGAGUUCCAGUUAUUUCAUGUGUAGUUAAAAACCAUUCAAAAAUCCCA
rnacentral:lncRNA from 1 species